UACGUAGGUGGCGAGCGUUGUCCGGAAUUACUGGGUGUAAAGGGCGUGUAGGCGGGAAUAUAAGUCAGAUGUGAAAUUCCAGGGCUUAACUCUGGGGCUGCAUCUGAAACUAUAUUUCUUGAGUGCUGGAGAGGGAAGCGGAAUUCCUAGUGUAGCGGUGAAAUGCGUAGAUAUUAGGAGGAACACCAGUGGCGAAGGCGGCUUUCUGGACAGUAACUGACGCUGAGGCGCGAAAGCGUGGGGAGCAAACGGG
rnacentral:rRNA from 1 species